UAUUGAGUGGUGUAAUUGGUUAAGCAUAUCAGUCUUUGACACUGAUGGUGUUGGUUCAAGCCCAACCUCAAUAACAA
rnacentral:tRNA from 1 species